UGAGUGAGUAGCAAAAUUACUCUGAUCAAGUUUGUUACAAAAAUGUUCAAGUCAAACAUGUUUGCAUCACAUGAACCUACUCAAUCGUAGUGUGUAUGAGUGUUCUGCUACCAAAUGCCAGAAGGCACAUAAUUGUUUAUAAAUCGUGGUACAUCCGACCAGGAGUGGUAAUUGCAAGGAAAAAAAUUAAAAUAUGAACAGACACCUUCCUUGAUACAGAAUUCUCGCAUAACUCCAUACAGCUCACUGUUUGACGAACUAAAUGCGAAAAAAAAAACAGAUUGAAGAAGGGAUGCAAGCAAGUGAGUGCCAUCCAUCAUUUUAGCAGCAAAUCUCUGAGCUGAAAAGGUACGGAAAUGGUGGAAUUUCAUCUUUUUCAGCCAACCCUUCCUUCCUAGUAACAUAAUUCUCCCAUCGGAACCCAGAGGGGCCAAUUUAAAGGCAUAGGUGCUAGGAGGGUCCCUAACUUUUGACCUUGCAGCAUAAAAAGUUGCUUUGUAAGAGAUCAGUCCAAGAAAAGGGGUUAGGAUUGAAUUUUGUAUACAUAUAACUAAAAGCUAAUAAUGUUCAGUUCAAUACUUGCAGGCUGCAGCAGCUUCAGAGUACAAUAUAAAAGGUUCAAUACUUGAGAAAUUUUUAAGAGUAAGAGAAAUCCACUACAUCUGACAUUAUUCUACAUUCCCCUCCAAAGCCAUUUUGCAUACUGUACCAAAUGGCUUAUGCUAAUCAUUAAAUCUGAGGCCUCCGUAGUGUAUUAAUGGCCAUACCAAAACUUGCAUCAUCAUAUUCAUUGUCAUUAGUCUUUUAAUUCCUUCAGCUUUAAAUGUCAAAAAUGGGUUGGCCAAGGUCGGCGGCCAGCCGUGUAGGUCUUUUGCCCUUUCUUUCUUACUUAAUAAAAGGAACAAGUUUUCUCAUCUAAAUAUGCAGAUAAUCUUUUAUAGAACAAAAGUGUUAACCUAUGCAGUCAAAGCAUUUACUUGCAUGAGAGAAAUAUCACUAUGCCUUUUUGACAACUAUUUACACAGAUAAGCAAUAAGAGAGAGAGAGAGAGAGAGCUUCCCUAUCAUGACUUGAAUUCAAUCUACUAACAGUCGGAGUCUAAUGCUAGUUGUUUUCUACAUGAUCAGCGUCAAACAACCUUGUUACGUUAAGAGUAUAAGUCAAUAUGUCAUGUAACAGUAACACAGUUUUAACACUAUUACUUAAGUUAGAUGUGUUAUGUUUAUCAAACUUAAGUAAGAAUAUGAACAACUACUUAACAUUAGCCUUGCGAGAUGAACUUGUAAAGAGGAAAGUGGGAGAGAUCAGCUCAACAUAUUUGUUACCAUGUUACCUUGGUUUAUAAAAGAUGCGUUUUACAAGAUUUUGCCAAUUGGAGCUCUAAAUGAUAAACCAGAGCUUGCCGACACUUGACUUCAAUAAGUUAGAAAUUAAACCCUUUAAAUACCAGAGACACAGAACAAAAGAAAGAAAAAGGGGCUACGUGGUGCCGGCGUGCAUUCCAUUGCGGCCAAUGUAUCUGUUUUGGAUGACAAAUGUCCUCCCAUUCACUUCUAUGAACAAAAUAAGACUUGCACUUUAAGGGAAAUAAUAUUAGUAUAAGAGGUCCACCUUGGCAAAAGUAGCAGCCCCUCUUAACACUGUUAAAAGAAAGGGAAGGCGGGACAUGUGAUCAUAAUCACUAUAUUAUGUUUAUUUCUGAAGGGUGUACUUUUUCAAAUUUGCAUUUAGGUGUUUUCCUUUCAGGUGAAUUCUUUACAAUCUAUAUUUGGUUUGGUUUGGUUUGGUGAGAGGAAUGUGCUAAACUAAGUGUUGCAAUUAGAGCUGAGAUGGGGAACAGUAACACCUCUGGGUUUCAAGGUAUGUAAUUAUGGCAGGGGAUUCCUUUAUUUUUUCCUAUUUUUCAUACUUGUUUCCUCUCUGGUUGGCUCAUGAAUGGUGGCUGAAGAUGCAGCAGAAGAAAAUUCUAACACAAAGAUUGAAGGAACUCAACCAAAAUCUGUGCAAGAACAUGAUGAGCAAGAAGGUACAAGAGGACACUUUGUUGAUCAAAGUGAAGGAAGUGAUGAAAAUGGAGGAAGAAUGUUAGGUUCUGAGGAUCCAAAGGAAGAGGAGGGAGCAAAAGCCCGGAAUCGAGAUGGAAAAGGUUCGGUUUGCUAAUAUACCUAAUGACAACAACUUUAUUUUGGUAUAAAGUUGUGUUGAUUAGUUUAUCCUGGCAAUCAAUAUUUUUUCAGUUGUUUCAGAGCAAGAGAAUGAUAGGCUGGAGAGCCAAGUUCAUGAUCUUAUGUCUGUCGAAUCUGAGGAACCAAAGCCCGAAUAUGAAGAAGAAAGAAGUAAAGACAGUAAUCCUCAACUAAAUAUUGUGAGGCAACAAACAGAAGAAAACAAGUCUGAUUCUAUGGAACAACCAGAAUCUAGUAAGCCAGGUUAACCAACUAAACUUCACAAUCCAUGAACAAUCAUUUCUUCUUAAACGAAUCAAUACGAUCAUUAGUUUUGAGCAGGAAGAAUGAAGCUUACCUAUUUAUCUGCAGCAGAGGAGGUGGAGGAGACGUUGAGCUCAGGUUCAACUGUUAGAUCCCAUGCACAUGAUGAGCAAGAACAUCAAGGUUCUGAUGAAGUAGAAUCAAACCUGACUGAAAACCAAGGUAACUCAACUUCCACCAAUAUGGAGAGGUUGGAGAGCCAAGUUCACGAUCCUUUGCUAGCCGAAUCUAAGAAGCCAAACCUGGACUACAAUGGAGAUAGCAGCAAAUGUGGCAAUUCUCAACCGAAUUUAUUGAGGGAAGAGAUGGAAGAACGCAUAUCUGAUGUAGAUGAGCAGCAGGAACUGCAUAAGCCAGGUUAGCCUACUUAACUUCAUAAUCCAUGUCAUGAAGAACCAAUAAAUCUAUCUGACGAAAAAACUUCUACACUCUCUCCUUUCUAUCUGCAUCAGUGGAGGCAGAGAUGAGCAUAGGAUCACCUGUUAUGCCCCCUUCACACGAUGGGCUACAAAAUCAUGGCGCCGAUGAAGCAGAAUUGAAACAGAACGAGAAUGAAGGCAACUCAACGUCCACCAUUAUGUCCCCUUCAAUCAAUGAAGAAGUUCCGAAUUCUGAAGAACUGGAAUUGAACCUGAAUAAAGAUGAAGGCAGCAUAACAAAAUCACCAUUUGCUCAUACUACUGAUUCUGAGAAUAAUCAGCAUUUUGAUGUUCAUACAUCUUAUGCUCAUGAUGAAUCUGUCAUAGCUGAGAAUCUCAUGGAUGGGUUUUCGGUGAAUGAACUGAUCAUAUCUUUACCCAGUAAGAUAUCCAUCAAAGUUGUAUCUCAAGCUGCAGUUGAAAAUGGAACUGAUCAUCAUGAGCCAGAGAGUGAGCAGAUGAACUAUGGCGGUUCCUUGCAGUCACAAGUAGAAGCCAAUCUGAUGGCUAAACACGACCGUCCAAAUGGUGAUGAUGAAGAAAGAUCUAGUAACCAAGCAGGUCACAAGAUUCAUGGAGAAGAAAUCAGCCACCUAGAGGCUUCAAAACCUGAAGCAAACCUGAUUUUGGCCUCACUACCACCACCACCUGAAGCCAAAGAAUCUAAUGAAGGGGAAAACAAUCAAGAUCAGCAAUCAGAAAAUGGGUCACAACUUCAUUGCUCGUGUGUGCCUGUAUCAAAGAUGGAAAAGAAGAAUUGUUGCAAGAGUCGUCACCUGACCAAGAGAAAGUGUCUGCAACGGAGUCUGAAGAUUCUCCACAAGACAUCAGUAGCAACUCCAACUGGGAAUUCAACACAGGAAACAGCUCCGAUUUCUUUGUCGAUAUGACUCCAACUUUCAUCGCCGAUAAGUUGACUGGUGAGGAAGAGCCUGUUCCAUUUCCAAUCCAGCUUCCGGCAGCAGUUACGGUGAGAAAGGAAGAGACCGACCAGCAAUUGGGAAGACUGAGCACCGACUCAGCUCCCGAAAACUUGACCGCCGAUUCCCAUAUGCAGAAAUCCCCGAGCUUCAAUUUUGAUCUUCAUCUUCGGCGACGCAGCACCGAAGAGUACUCCGAUCAAACUCCUCUCCUCCAGAAAUACCAAGACAAGAACACGAUCACAUCUAUAUCUAAAGAAACUAAGGCUUUUGAAAUGCCCAGUCACGAAGAGGCGAUGUCAGUGGAAGAGAAAGCCAGUCAACCCCUAGAGAAGAGUGAUUCAGAGAAGCCGUUGAUCCUAGGGUGGAUGAAGGAAGACAAUAAUAAUGAAGUCCAUCGCCAAAAGAAAGCAUCGGAAGAGGAAAUGACGAAAUGGGUUCCGUCUGAAGAGAAAGAAAAGCAGUACAGCCGGCGCCGAUCGACAAUCUUCAGCAACUGUCUGUGCUGCACGGCAACAAACGCCAUCAGUUAAUGAAUGACUGGACUCCCCCACUCUCGAUUUGCCAGCCACCAUUUGGGUUUCUUCCUUAUAUUAUUUAUAUGAUUAUUUGAUUCGAUUGGAUUGGGUUUUCUUCUGCAAGUUUGUGGAGUUCUGGUCGUCAAUGGUUCCGGUUCCGGUUCCGCCAUUGCCAACGUUUCCAUUGUUUCUGAGUGGUCAUUCACUAUGAAGGUUUGAAUAUGUAAUUUCACCGUUUGCUCAGUAAAGAUGAAAAAUAAGAGAAAUACUAUUCUUCGUCUUAAGUUUCGUUAAAAAACGGCUUACAAUUUAAAUUCCACGUGUAUAAUUACGGAUGCUCUUCGGUAUGUGUGUUAGAAACCCAAAUAUAUAAAAAAUCUAAACCAAUUCGAAUGAACUCAUCCUCACAUUCACCUCCACACCUCUUUCGGCGCCACCUCUGCCGGCAUUCGCCACCUCCACCGCUGUCGGCCACUUAUUGUAGCCAUUGUGUCCUUCUUACUGCCGCCGCCUCCUUGCUUCAACCGCUUCGACCUUGUUGUCGCCGACGUCUCUUCCUCCUCCGCUUUAGAGUCCCGGCCGAACGCCGCCCGCCAAAGACAAACGCCCUAUUUGGGCGUCCCCUCCUUGUUGCGUAAACGCCUUAUUUGGGCGGUCCCUCUCUAUCGUACAAACUCCCAAAAUGGGCGUUCCCUUUUUUCAUAUGUUUAAUUUGUGUUAUAUUUUUAUGCUUAAUUUUACUCUGCUUCUGUUCGGAGCGGACAACCCACACGGAAUAAUUUUAUUUAUAAUAUAACUUACAUACAACAAUAAAGAUCACUUCGGAUGAUGUCCACCGCGUGACAUGAACAGCUUAAAUUAGUCCUUAUACAACGGUCUUCAUAAAGUAAUAUGUAACCUUCCCCAUGUUAUAUGGAAAUGUGGCAUUGGUUUAAUUCUAUUGUUCUCGUUUAAUUAUAUUUGCACCUAAUAAUUCUCGAUACAAACUAAUUUUAGUGUAACAACCAGAUGCACUAUAUUCAGAUCAUGUAAAAUAGGCAAAUAGAUAACACUAAAUAUAUUCAUAUUAAUCAAAUCCUUAACAUAUAUUGGGCGCCAUAUGUAGCACCCAAAUGAAAAUAUAUAAUUCAUAAUUAGUAUAUAAAUAUUACGUUAAAAAAAAUUAGGACGCCUUAAUAGGGCUCUCAGGCACUACUUUAGGCCCGUAACACAUAAUGAGCGCGUUAAUAGGGCGAUGGACGGCGGUAAUGAUGGUGUGGUGGGGUGUAUUCGCGGUGGUGGUGAGGUGUCUUGCCGGCGGCAAAAACUAACUCGACCAAAAGUUUUUGAAGAAAUCGAAAAUAAAAUCGAUGAAAUUAUUUUAAUGAACCAAUUGUCAAAGACAUUUGUAUAAUGGUACAUACCAAAUUUGUAUUGUGAAGCAUUUUUUAAUGGAAACUAGGACGAAGAAUAAUAAUUCAGAAAAAUAAGCUCAUAAUAAAAAACUAGUUGUAAUAUUAAAUAAUGAAAAUGCUAUUUACCCAAAAGAUAAAGCUCUCAGGGCAUCCCGAUAGACUCAUCAGAGGUUGUUUCAGUGUUUUGGCCUGUCGUCUCGACUUUCAAUCUAACGGACUAGGGUUUUCAGGGCAGGAGUAGAAUUAAUGGUGUAAUAGUUUUUUUUUUUGAGAUUUAAAAUUCGAAUUGAAAGAGCUUCCCUCUCUUUCUUUGACAAUAUUGUGGUAAUUGAGGCGGAAAAAAGCAAUAACGCUCGUUCACCUGUCUCACUUUCUUCACUUAUCACCGAUUAAUUCUCUCACCUCUUAACGUCGUUGACAGUUAUAUAUCGUUUUUCCAGCUGUUUUGUCUUCCUUUAAUUGUGUUUUCACCACAAAUAUUUUUCUCUUUGUUAGACUUUUUUAUGUUGUAUUCUUUCUCCCGUUAUGUAACUGUUAUAUGUGUACUCUACUUAAAUAGGUGCGACCGGAGAGGAUUGCAACAAUUCAACCGGAAAAAAAUUGAAUAGGAAAUUAAAAGGUAUUGGUAAUGGUAUGCUAUGUCAUGGCCAUAUUAUGUUACAUUAUGACCGCGUUAUCUUACUAUCCUUACUAAUACAAACACGUUAUGUUACUGAUACGAUGGCGUUAUGACCAUCUUAGGUAUCGAAAUAGAAUGUUGAGAAACCACAUGUGAAGAGAAAGCCUAUCGAGCGGUCACAAAUAAAUCGAAAAAGUAUUCUUCUCAUGCAUAGAGCUAGUAUUAUGCCUAUGUGGAGCUCAUCACAUCAACGUCAGUGGCCGGCUUCAAUCGUCCCACCCAUGUGGACCCAUUUUGCCGGAAUUGUAGGCGGUUGGCAAACCCCGAUGCCGUCCAAUCGAGUGCUCACAGAUCUGGUUCGAACGCACCGCCCAGCUAUUCUUAUUCUUUUGGAAACCGAUUGAUAUUAAAUAUACCAUAAUAUUUGACACUUAAUUUGCUAAUCUUAAUGCCAUAAUAUCAAUCGCAAUCGGAAGUUUUGAUGAAAAUUGGUGAUAUUACCCUUAAUUUCGUAAAUUCAACCCUUGGACCUUCAUGGUUCAUUUUUAUGUUGUUUCUAGUGUUUUAAUGACAUUUCAAUUCACACAAUUAUAAAGAGAUGAAUUUCAAAUCCAAUGAUACAAACCGAAGGUAAAUCAGAUUCUGAACGAAGAUGUUACGGCUGUUUUACGAUCCACCGCUCAACCGAUUGCCGGAAGGACAACUGGGCAUGGGUGAGGACGUCAGCACAUGUAGAUAUGUACAUCAUCAAGGACAACUACAUCAUGCAUACAACUGAUGGAGUAGGUGCUGGAGGCUUUAAUACGCCAUUUUUUGAGCCUAUAUAACAACAACUCUUCUCCACUUCGAAAACACAUCAUACACACACCAUAUCAGACCUCCAAGCUUAGUUACUCUGUCCCAAGGCGUCCUCCUUCAGCCCGGGAACGUGCCACUUCAAACCGCACACAAUUCAGAGCCCUGGAGGUGAAUAAAUCCAUUCCGGAACUUCCGUUCGGCAUUGCUGAAUUUUACGACGACAGAGAGUUCUUGAAUCUCGGAGCUCCAGGUUCAUGUAUUAUCUCCAUUUCUGUGUUGUUAACAUGAUUAUCAUGUGUAACUAAGUUCCACCUCUGUUCGGAUUUGAUGAAACCUUGAUUAUGUGUUAAUUCGGCAUUAUUUCGAUUGGGUUUAUGCAAAACUAUAGUUAAUUUCGUUCUUAUCUUUCUCUUGCAUUUAGCUACUUCUAUAUCUUGUAAUUGCCGAAUUCUAGUUGUAAGAUUAUCGUUGAGAUUCGGUUUAGAUACAAAAGUGCGACUAAAUUGUUGGGAAUAUGCAGUUUUAAUCAAACCAACCCGAGUCCAAGCUAUUGAUCAAACCAACAGCCAAACUAAACAGAACGACACCGUCUCAUGGUUACCGUUAAUCUAAACAGAAUAUGACCGUUGGAGCAAGAGGGAGAGAUGAUGAUCGCCUUCUGAUUUCCCUCCUGAUUUUGCUCAACCAACGAUCUUCCGGAGGUCGUGGGGUGAACCACGGUGAUGGAAUGGAGACUGCUACUCCAUAUAAAACCAGAGUGCUCAUCACCCCAGUAGAGCAGUAGAUUAACACAGAAACCAUUGAUCAUUAGAGUUGAGAUAGUGAUUACCUUGAGAGCAUUUUUCCAGCACCUUUGAUUGUUGUGGUGUAAGGGAAAUAGCUUUAAGGGCAGUGGCUCCUCCACGAUCACUUGCUUUACACGUUACUUGACUCUCUUCUCUUCCUGCUAAAGUUGUUUGAUUCUGUCCCUAACAUAAAUACCCGAAUGCCAAGGGUUAGAAUCGUCGUCUCCGCUACACUCGAGAGAGGGGCGGAACAUCGAUCCGCUUUGGAAUUGAUUUUCUGAUUAAUCAUUAUUCUAUUUUUAAUGCACUUGGUAAUUAACUCUAAUUAGUCUCAAGAGAGCGGUUAGAUUAUUAUCGAGUAGGGAAUCUAUGAUACGAAAGUGCUUAAAUUCUAGUUUUGGAUUAAACGCGGUAAUUGCUUUUUCACGUAUAGUUAAGCAUAACACUUUCGGAAUAAUUUACUUAAUUAUCAUUGUUUCUUGGUGAAUUCAUUUCCGGACAGGUUGCUAGCAUCCAUUAAACUCGAUUCCAACUCUCGUGCUUCCAUACCCGCUAUUCCAACGACUCGACUUUUAUUCUCUCACUUUCCGGAGUAAUAUUCCGAACGGAACCUCGUGAAUACGAUCUCGAUUUUACCGAGUUUAUCUUUGAACUCGCCUUCGGGUGGGAUUAGAAACUCUGGACACUAUGCAGAAGAUGGAGACAGUACACGCAUCUAUAGGCUUCGAGGCUUGUUUUGUGGUGGAAGUUGUAGGGCAUAUUGGUCUAUCUACACUAAUCCCUCCUACAUGCACUACACUAAUACCCCACCCGAAUGAAGAAGACAUAGACAUUUAGCCAGGAUCAGACACAAAAGAACUCCAUUCCACCUGCUGCACAUAAAAAAAGUGUCAUACGCACAACAUGUAACCAAUUGUCGGAGCUAACCAUAAUAAAAACCUGUGAAAUGUCUCUAGACUCUUCCUGAAAAUUUCAAUAAUUUCUUUCACGCCAAAUGGACCACAAGACGAAUGGAUAAAUAGCCUUUUUAGACUGUUAAAGCGGGAUAGGCAGUUCAUCCAUUUCCAUGCCACGUUCAUGAAACUCAAUCAAACACUAUCAAUCUCGAUGACAAUUGAUCAAGAAAGUAGAGAUUUGAUAAAUUGUAAAUGAAGAAGUAAACUAGUGAAGAGGAAUCGAAUUUCUUCUUCUUCCUUUACUUCACGUUGCCGAAAUGAGAACAAAUAGGAUAUAAAAAUCCUAUCUUAAAUAUGGGCUAUAGCUUAUAACUACGGCCCAAUUAUUUAGUCAAUUAAUUUCAGCCCAAGACCAAUGUUCAGUUCUACGGAUUAAUUUACGAUAAUUACGAGAAUUAAGAACACAAUGUUUUAACGUGGUAUCGGAAACUCAGCCUACUCCAUGCCCGAUGAAUGAUUAUCCCAAGAGUUAUAUUAUUAUCACAAAUUAAAUAACGUACCUUCAUAAACUAACAAAGUGACAACAACCUUUGCACACACGCAAAGUGACAAUCCUCCGAAAUCGGAGUGACAACUUCUACCUGUGAUCUCUCGAGAACAAGAGUAACGAUACAGAUUGUCACUCACCAAAAAUCUUAUCGACUAACCAGAUCACUCCACUCACACUCUUUUCUCUCAAUCACAGUCUAUCGACUUUUCACUCAAAUACGAUAGUGACAAUGAAGCUUUAAAGAAUAGAGCACUUGCUUGUGAAUUGGUGAUUUGCUC
rnacentral:lncRNA from 1 species